UUUUUUAAAGACCACUAACCAAAACAGGAUGUUUCCCCUCUCUGAAGGACAGGUUCAAAGGGUGCUAUUCACAUUGAAGAUGCUCUAUCCAUAUGAACAAGGAUUUCAAAAGUAGCAGGAAAAUUCCAAAUUGCCUUGCUGGAUUAAAACAUUCUUCUUUGAUGAGGGAUGCUGUCGAGUUUGCAAUGAGCCAUUCAGCAACCAUGGAAGAAGUCUUCCAAUGCACUGCUGGCCUAUCUAGAACAAGAUUGUUAAGAUAGAUGCUGCUUCUAUCCCAAUCUGGACAUGCAUUUAUGGGAAAUACACAGCCAUGAGUAAUAAAGGCUUUGAAAACGGC